UACGUAGGUGGCAAGCGUUAUCCGGAAUUAUUGGGCGUAAAGCGCGCGCAGGCGGUUUCUUAAGUCUGAUGUGAAAGCCCACGGCUCAACCGUGGAGGGUCAUUGGAAACUGGGGAACUUGAGUGCAGAAGAGAAAAGCGGAAUUCCACGUGUAGCGGUGAAAUGCGUAGAGAUCAUGAGGAAGACCAGUGGCGAAGGCGGGUCUCUGGACAGUUCCUGACACUGAGGCACGAAGGCCAGGGGAGCAAAGCGGG
rnacentral:rRNA from 1 species